UACGGAAGAUCCGAGCGUUAUCCGGAAUUACUGGGCGUAAAGAGUUGCGUAGGUGGCAUGUAAAGCGAGCAGUGAAAGGCUACCGGCUCAACCGGGGAUACAUUGUUCGAACUCACAAGCUAGAGCAUGAGAGAGGUAGAUGGAAUUUCUAGUGUAGGAGUGAAAUCCGAUAGAUAUUAGAAGGAACACCGAUGGCGUAGGCAGUCUACUGGCUCAUUGCUGCACUAAGGGCACGGAAAGCGUGGGGAGCGAACGGG
rnacentral:rRNA from 1 species